rnacentral:rRNA from 1 species
UACGUAGGGUGCAAGCGUUAAUCGGAAUUAUUGGGCGUAAAGGGUGCGCAGGCGGAUGUAUAAGUCAGAUGUGAAAUCCCCGGGCUUAACCUGGGAACUGCGUUUGAAACUACAAGGCUAGAGUGUGGCAGAGGGGGGUGGAAUUCCACGUGUAGCAGUGAAAUGCGUAGAGAUGUGGAGGAACACCGAUGGCGAAGGCAGCCCCCUGGGUUAACACUGACGCUCAGGCACGAAAGCGUGGGGAGCAAACAGG